AUUGAACGCUGGCGGCAUGCUUUACACAUGCAAGUCGAACGGUAACAGGUUAAGCUGACGAGUGGCGAACGGGUGAGUAAUGCAUCGGAACGUGCCCGAUCGUGGGGGAUAACGCAGCGAAAGCUGCGCUAAUACCGCUUACGAUCUGAGGAUGAAAGCGGGGGACCGUAAGGCCUCGCGCGAUCGGAGCGGCCGAUGUCAGAUUAGGUAGUUGGUGGGGUAAAGGCCCACCAAGCCGACGAUCUGUAGCUGGUCUGAGAGGACGACCAGCCACACUGGGACUGAGACACGGCCCUGACUCCUACGGGAGGCAGCAGUGGGGAAUUUUGGACAAUGGGCGAAAGCCUGAUCCAGCAAUGCCGCGUGCAGGAAGAAGGCCUUCGGGUUGUAAACUGCUUUUGUACGGAGCGAAAAGGUCCUUUCUAAUACAAGGGGCUCAUGACGGUACCGUAAGAAUAAGCACCGGCUAACUACGUGCCAGCAGCCGCCGUAA
rnacentral:rRNA from 1 species